CAACCCUCAAGCCCCCGGGCUUGGUGUUGGGGAUCGGCGAGCCUCCGCGCCCGCCGUCCCCUAAAUCUAGUGGCGGUCUCGCUGUAGCUUCCUCUGCGUAGUAGCACACCUCGCACUGGGAAACAGCGCGGCCACGCCGUUAAACCCCCAACUUCUGAAC
rnacentral:misc_RNA from 2 species